rnacentral:rRNA from 1 species
GACGAACGCUGGCGGCGUGCCUAAUACAUGCAAGUAGGACGCAGUUGCGAACGGGUGAGUAACGCGAAGGUAACUGCAUAUUAGUGGGGGAUAACUAUUGGAAACGAUAGCUAAUACCGCAUACUAGUAGAUGGACCUGCGGUGUAUUAGCUAGUAGGUAGGGUAAUGGCCUACCUAGGCGACGGUACAUAGCCGACCUGAGAGGGAGAUCGGCCAAACUGGGACUGAGGCACUGCCCAGACUCCGACGGGAGGCAGCAGUAGGGAAUCUUCGGCAAUGGGGGGAACCCUGACCGAGCAACGCCGCGGGAGUGAAGAAGGUUUUCGGAUCGUAAAGCUCUGUUGUUAAGGAAGCGGUACUUAACCAGAAAGGGACGGCUAACUACGUGCCAGCAGCCGCGGUAAUUC